rnacentral:rRNA from 1 species
GACGAACGCUGGCGGCGUGCUUAACACAUGCAAGUCGUACGGUAAGGCCCUUUCGGGGGUACACGAGUGGCGCACGGGUGAGUAACACGUGAGUAACCUGCCCACAACUUUGGGAUAACGCUAGGAAACUGGUGCUAAUACUGGAUAUGUGCUCCUGCUGCAUGGUGGGGGUUGGAAAGCUCCGGCGGUUGUGGAUGGACUCGCGGCCUAUCAGCUUGUUGGUGGGGUAGUGGCCUACCAAGGCGGCGACGGGUAGCCGGCCUGAGAGGGUGACCGGCCACAUUGGGACUGAGAGACGGCCCAGACUCCGACGGGAGGCAGCAGGGGGGAAUAUUGCACAAGGGGCGCAAGCCUGAUGCAGCAACGCCGCGGGCGGGAUGACGGCCUUCGGGUUGUAAACCGCUUUCAGCAGGGACGAAGCUUUUUGUGACGGUACCUGCAGAAGAAGCACCGGCUAACUACGUG